rnacentral:rRNA from 1 species
UACGUAGGGGGCAAGCGUUAUCCGGAUUUACUGGGUGUAAAGGGAGCGUAGACGGCUUUGCAAGCCAGAUGUGAAAGCCCGGGGCUCAACCUCGGGACUGCAUUUGGAACUGUAUGGCUGGAGUGUCGGAGAGGCAGGCGGAACUCCUAGUGUAGCGGUGAAAUGCGUAGAUAUUAGGAGGAACACCAGUGGCGAAGGCGGCCUGCUGGACGAUGACUGACGUUGAGGCUCGAAAGCGUGGGGAGCAAACAGG